rnacentral:rRNA from 1 species
AGCGACAGAAGAAGACACCGGCUAACUCCGUGCCAGCAGCCGCGGUAAUACGGAGGGUGCGAGCGUUAAUCGGAAUUACUGGGCGUAAAGCGCAUGCAGGUGGUUUGUUAAGUUCAGAUGUGAAAGCCCGGGGCGUCAACCUCGGAAUAGCAUUUGAAACUAGGCAGACUAGAGUACUGUAGAGGGGGGUAGGAAGUUUCAGGUGUAGCGGUGAAAUGCGUAGAGAUCUGAAGGAAUACCGGUGGCGAAGGCGGCCCCCUCGGACAGAUACUGACACUCAGAUGCGAAAGCGUGGGGAGCAAACAGGAUUAGAUACCCUGGUAG